rnacentral:rRNA from 1 species
CCUACGGGUGGCUGCAGUGAGGAAUAUUGGUCAAUGGGCGGGAGCCUGAACCAGCCAAGUCGCGUGAGGGAAGACGGUCCUAUGGAUUGUAAACCUCUUUAGGCGGGGAGCAAUGCCGGGCACGCGUGCCCGGAGGUAGAGUACCCGCCGAGUAAGCAUCGGCUAACUCCGUGCCAGCAGCCGCGGUAAUACGGAGGAUGCGAGCGUUAUCCGGAUUUAUUGGGGUUAAAGGGUCCGCAGGCGGACUGUUAAGUCAGCGGUAAAAGCCCGGGGCUCAACCCCGGCGAGCCGUGGAAACUGGAGGGCUGGAGUUGGAGAGAAGUACGCGGAAUGCGAGGUGUAGCGGUGAAAUGCGUAGAUAUCGGGCAGAACCCCGAUGGCGAAGGCAGCGUACCGGCUCCACACUGACGCUGAGGCACGAAAGCGUGGGUAGCGAACAGGAUUAGAUACCCGGGUAGUC